rnacentral:tRNA from 4 species
UGGGUCGAUGCCCGAGCGGUUAAUGGGGACGGACUGUAAAUUCGUUGACGACUGUCUACGCUGGUUCAAAUCCAGCUCGGCCCAA